rnacentral:rRNA from 1 species
CCUACGGGCGGCAGCAGUGGGGAAUAUUGGACAAUGGGGGGAACCCUGAUCCAGCCAUGCCGCGUGUGUGAAGAAGGCCCUCGGGUUGUAAAGCACUUUCAGUGAGGAAGAACGCCUGGUGGUUAAUACCCAUCAGGAAAGACAUCACUCACAGAAGAAGCACCGGCUAACUCCGUGCCAGCAGCCGCGGUAAUACGGAGGGUGCGAGCGUUAAUCGGAAUUACUGGGCGUAAAGCGCGCGUAGGUGGCUUGAUAAGCCGGUUGUGAAAGCCCCGGGCUCAACCUGGGAACGGCAUCCGGUACUGUCAAGCUAGAGUGCAGGAGAGGAAGGUAGAAUUCCCGGUGUAGCGGUGAAAUGCGUAGAGAUCGGGAGGAAUACCAGUGGCGAAGGCGGCCUUCUGGACUGACACUGACACUGAGGUGCGAAAGCGUGGGUAGCAAACAGGAUUAGAUACCCUUGUAGUC